rnacentral:rRNA from 1 species
UGGCGAACGGGUGAGUAACACGUGAGUAACCUGCCCUUAACUCUGGGAUAAGCCUGGGAAACUGGGUCUAAUACCGGAUAUGACUCCUCAUCGCAUGGUGGGGGGUGGAAAGCUUUAUUGUGGUUUUGGAUGGACUCGCGGCCUAUCAGCUUGUUGGUGAGGUAAUGGCUCACCAAGGCGACGACGGGUAGCCGGCCUGAGAGGGUGACCGGCCACACUGGGACUGAGACACGGCCCAGACUCCUACGGGAGGCAGCAGUGGGGAAUAUUGCACAAUGGGCGCAAGCCUGAUGCAGCGACGCCGCGUGAGGGAUGACGGCCUUCGGGUUGUAAACCUCUUUCAGUAGGGAAGAAGCGAAAGUGACGGUACCUGCAGAAGAAGCGCCGGCUAACUACGUGCCAGCAGCCGCGGUAAUACGUAGGGCGCAAGCGUUAUCCGGAAUUAUUGGGCGUAAAGAGCUCGUAGGCGGUUUGUCGCGUCUGCCGUGAAAGUCCGGGGCUCAACUCCGGAUCUGCGGUGGGUACGGGCAGACUAGAGUGAUGUAGGGGAGACUGGAAUUCCUGGUGUAGCGGUGAAAUGCGCAGAUAUCAGGAGGAACACCGAUGGCGAAGGCAGGUCUCUGGGCAUUAACUGACGCUGAGGAGCGAAAGCAUGGGGAGCGAACAGGAUUAGAUACCCUGGUAGUCCAUGCCGUAAACGUUGGGCACUAGGUGUGGGGGACAUUCCACGUUUUCCGCGCCGUAGCUAACGCAUUAAGUGCCCCGCCUGGGGAGUACGGCCGCAAGGCUAAAACUCAAAGGAAUUGACGGGGGCCCGCACAAGCGGCGGAGCAUGCGGAUUAAUUCGAUGCAACGCGAAGAACCUUACCAAGGCUUGACAUGAACCGGUAAUACCUGGAAACAGGUGCCCCGCUUGCGGUCGGUUUACAGGUGGUGCAUGGUUGUCGUCAGCUCGUGUCGUGAGAUGUUGGGUUAAGUCCCGCAACGAGCGCAACCCUCGUUCUAUGUUGCCAGCGCGUGAUGGCGGGGACUCAUAGGAGACUGCCGGGGUCAACUCGGAGGAAGGUGGGGACGACGUCAAAUCAUCAUGCCCCUUAUGUCUUGGGCUUCACGCAUGCUACAAUGGCCGGUACAAAGGGUUGCGAUACUGUGAGGUGGAGCUAAUCCCAAAAAGCCGGUCUCAGUUCGGAUUGGGGUCUGCAACUCGACCCCAUGAAGUCGGAGUCGCUAGUAAUCGCAGAUCAGCAACGCUGCGGUGAAUACGUUCCCGGGCCUUGUACACACCGCCCGUCAAGUCACGAAAGUUGGUAACACCCGAAGCCG